UGGUGCACAAAGAACAGGCUGAUACUAGGGCUCAAAUCAAUUCAAGCCAAGGCAGCAGGAGGUGUAGAUGAUUGAGUUGGUGUAGGAAUCACAAGAUUGGGCCAAAAGGCCUAAAACUUUACAAGACAAAGCUGGGGAAAGAAUUGUGAGCAAAGGCACAUGCAAGAAUGUUAAUUGCGUUUAUCAUGUGUUGAGUCCAAGUUCAAAACAUCUCUAGGUCAACUUCCCUUCUUAUGAGUUCAACUCUCCUCCUCCAUUUAAUGUCAAAAAACUCUACAUCAUUCUCUUCAUCUUUUCAACCUGAUUCCAAAUAUCACAAUAACAAAAUCCAAUUCUUCUUAUAUCCUCUGAAUCGAAGUAAGAACUUGAAGAACCCUAAACCUUAGGUCUAAAAUUAAAUUCUUAUCCCUCGGAAUCAAAGCCCAAGAGGUUAGGGCUUUGAUUCCCUUAAUCCUCUUCUACAUUAUGCUAACAAGAACGAAGUAAAUAGAUGAAGAAAAGUAGAAGAAACUCAUCAGAGCUAGCGUCAGAUAUCAAGUAUAAAGCUUUGAAUCUUCUCAAAUCUCCUUCUUCUUUCUCGGAUUAUUCUCCUUUCUGGAAAAUCUUGAGAGAUCAUGAGGAGAGAAUUCGAGAGGGAGAGUGAUGUCAGAGGUUUGAAUAUGUUGAAUACAGAGAGUGAGUGAUUGAAGAAUCGAGUUACUCUAAGAUUGACGUGGGUAAGCUUUACUUCGUUAAAGCUUCAAUGCGGAGCUUUAAUGGAGUAUUUUGAAGGAACUUUGUGUGAGGGUGAACGGAGAGGUUCUGAGAUUGACAUGGAGAAAAUAAGAUUGAGAGAAUGCGAGUUUCUGGUUUCUGAAUGAAUGAGAAAAUUCAUGAAGAUGCACAAUGAGGUGAAUGUAUAGGAGAGGAAUUUAACAGAUGAAGAACUCAUUUAAAUCCAGUUAGUUGGAUUGAUUCAAUGUUAGAUUUGGUGCUUUUAUGAAGUGGUUGCUAGGACUGCUGCUCAAUUCAAUGAUGGUUGGUCUCGUGGAUGCUCAUGGUUAUUAUGAGGUAAAUGUGAAUGGUAAGUUGCAUGACUAUUAGGUCUAAUAGUAUGAUUGUCAUGUGGUUUAUCAUGUAUUUGUUGUGGUGUAGGCUUGGUCUGCUAGUGUGAUAUAAUGGCCUAGGUCGUGUUUAUUGUUUGGAAAUGGUUGAAAAGGUCAUGGCCAAGCUAGGUUUGAGAUGGUUUAGGUUAUGUUUAUUGUUUGGAAAUGGUUGAAAAGGUCAUCACUAGGCUAGGCUUGAGAUAAUUUAGGUUAGGCAUAGUAUCUUUUGGCCUUUUGCUCAUGGUUAUGGCUGCUUGGAUUUAGAAUGGUUGUAAUGUGUUUCAUGCUUAUGUCAUUUGGUUUUGAAUUUUUUGACAUGCUAUGGUAGAUGUUAGGACUGUUUGAAAUGCAAUGUUCUAUUUGUAUGAAUGUUAGGUCCAUGUCUUAGUCAUUUGGCUUGGAAUUGGAAAUGAACAUGUUGAUUCAUGAAAUGACACGUGGUUUUAGAUUUU